AUACUUGGUGAUCUAAAAAGCAAUGUUGAAAAAUAAAUUUCAGGAAUGUUUGGAUGAUUUUGAUCCUUUGAGUAACAUGAACAACGGGAACAUCCAAGCGCAAUUAGGUGACUUCAUAUUAAAAAGCAAAUAGACACCUAAAUUCACUUAUGAAUCGUCGAAUUUAAAUAAAUAAUCUGGGCACACAUCCAGUGAUCCACAACAUAGAUCAAUACCUCAGACCAUACACCGUAAUUUUAAGCGUCUACGUUUUUAUUUUACAGCCCACACGAAAAUAAUGUGACGACUUACGUAAUUGAGUUGAAAGGUAAAUGGGUGCGGCUGCUAAUUACCUCCAUUUUAUAAUUAGUAGUAGCUUUGAGCAGUUUAGUUGUAAAUGGGUGCCAACAUUCGUCCCAUUGUUUCGUUUACGUUUAUGCUUAUUAGCUAAAAUUUAAAUUUUCAACUUUAAAUUUAAAGUUGAUUUUGAGAUUUUUAUCGAAGUGUAACUUGAAGGAAAAUUCUAGUUAACCGGCACGACUAGGACACCAGUACGAAAAUUCUGCCUCACAAGUCUUGCAUGAUAGAAUUUAAGGGGCGCAAAAUAAAUUAAAAAGAAAGGAAGAAAAAGAGCGUGACAAAGCUUUGGAAAAACGGCGGCGGUCACGCCACCGUGGGCAGCCNN
rnacentral:lncRNA from 1 species